GCCCUUACCUGGCGCUGGGUCCAGGGUGAUCAAGAAUGCUCUGACCCCGGGUGGAGGCUCACCAGUGCACCUCGGUGGGUUGAAACUCGCAACGGACCCUAAUCGGGUGCGCUCGGGUGUGUAGUUUUUGUCAGUGGGGGGGGCCUCACGGUCCCCCCUU
rnacentral:snRNA from 1 species